UUUGCACGAGAAACUCUUUCUCGUGUAAAGAAAAUGGCGCACAAAAGGAUAAGGACAUGGCGCAUGGGAUUAGUUAUCCAUUUAAAUUCAAACACCCUUUGAAUUUGAAUGGCUAAUAAAUCAUGUUUAUCCAAAUAAUUGGCGCACAAGUGUGGGCAUGGGAAGGCCUUUGCGUGUGAGAAAAUUCAUGAGAAGUUAUUUCUCGUGAAUUCAAAUGGGUGCAGAAGA
rnacentral:lncRNA from 1 species